rnacentral:lncRNA from 1 species
CCUUGGAGGAUAGGCUACAAUGGUGACAGGAAUGGUUAUAGAGAAAUCUCCGGCAGGGUUAUGGGCCCUACACACGUAAUUCCCUCUGUCGUGAAUGGUAGCUGCUCGUAUAACCAGCGUGCCAUUUUCCAGCAGGAUGUGUCUGCUGUUGAUCUGAGGUCGGUCCAGCACAUGGCCACCUGGAAGAGUCCACGCCGUGCUGGGUUUGGGGCUGCCGUCAGACAGGCAGUGAAGCGAUAAUGAUUCCCCGCUGAUGCCCCUCAUUGGACCCUUGGGGUGAGUGAGGAUGGUGGGCUUCUGAGCGACUUCGAGGACGAUCAGCUUUUCAAUAUAGCCGACUUGGUUCUUAGCUGCACAGCGAUACUUCCCUGCUUUGUCCCUGCUGGGAUUGCGGAUGCUGAGGGUUCCAUUGCUUCCUGGGAGGAACUCGGGCGUCCCGGUGCCCUUGGAGAGCCACAUACCGUUGGGCAGCAUCCAGCUUACUUCAGGUGGAGGGUUUCCAUCCACAGAGCAGUUCAGUGUGAUUGUUUUUCCAGGUUUUGCUAUUAUUUUUUCAUUGAAUGGAUUUUUAAACAUGGGUCGCCUUAGCAUUUCCAGUACCUCCAGCCGCACCACCAGCACGCUCUCUCCCCAGUCGUUCCGUGCCACGCAGAUGAAGUCUGCGGUGUCGGAAGGCCUUAGGUUCCGGAUCUCCAGCGUCCCGUUUUUGUGUAUGACGAUCCUGCUGCCGUAGUACGGGGCUGUCAGGAAAAUGUUAUCGGGCAUGAUCCACAUGAUCUGGGGGGGAGGCGUCCCUUCUGCCCUGCAGUCAAUUUGUUUCUUCGAGUGCCUCACCGCUGUCACUUUGAUGAUAGUUUUGUUUGUGUACAAACCAUUUAUGAUAGGUGGUUUAGCGUCAACAUCCAGUUUGUACAAUUUUGUGUCAUCCCCUCCAGCAUUACGAGCCACACACAUGUACUCCCCAGCAUCCAGCAGUUUGGCUCGGCGGACUGACAGGGAGCCGUUAACGUGCAGGAGGUGCCUGUCUGUGGAAGAGGAGAUAAUGUCACUGGAAGGCAGCAACCAGAAUAUUUUUGGUUUAGGUUCCCCAGCAGCUUCACAGUCCAACAGCGCCGUGUCCCCGGCUUUCACUUUAACGUACGUCUUGUAACUGUGCUUUAUCUGAGGGGCUGCUGUGACGACUGUGACGUGUAUUUUCAUUUCAUCUCUCCCCAGAGAGUUCUGGGCAUAGCAGGUGUAGUCUCCCUCCUCUGUUACUCCAGCUCUGUUGAGAUACAGCGUUCCGUUGUCAAAGAGGACGUAUCUGCGAGCCCUGUGUCCGCUGUCGUCUGCCAGCAUCGCGUUGUUGAUCACCAUCCCGUCCGGCAAACUCCAGGAUAUUUCUGGUGCAGGAUGAUGGGAGGUGCUGCGAUGACCUGCAGCUUGACAGUCAGCGCGUCGGUGCCUGCUGGGUUUGUGGCCGUGCACGUGUAGAGGCCCCUGUCGUAAACUGUGACGUCCUUGAUCGUUAAGGUGCCAUCCGGCCGCACGAGAACUUUCUGAUUUCCCUGGGAAGAGCUGGAGACGUGCGUUCCAUUGGCCAGAACCCACGAGAUGGAGGGAGGAGGUCUGCCCUCGGCCGGACACCUCAUGGCCACGGGCAUCCCGGCAUGGGCAGUGAGGAGCCGUGUGCUGCCGGCAAUGCGAGGUGGGUAGGCCACCACGGCCAGCGUGGCCAGGAGCCGUGCUGUGCCCAGCACGUUGGUGGCGGUGCAGCGAUACUGCCCACCGUCCUGCAGGGCUGCCUGUGCGAUGGCGAGCGUGCCGUUGGGCAGCACCGUCCACCUGCUGCCACUUGCUGGGGCAUCGGUGUCUGCAGGAGGGAGGGACAACAGCGCAGUGUCAGACCUCUCCAUCCC